UUCUACGGGGAGAUUUGGUACAUCCCCAGAAGCUGUCUUGGGUUCAGAAAACAGUCUUCAGACCUAGAAAGGACUUGAGGAGUCCCAGAGAGGAGCUGCAUGGUUUGAACCAUUUGAUUCUCACAACAGAAUAAGUAAAAACAAUUUUAACCAUGAAACCAUGCAGAUGUUCAUAUUCUGGAUAGGGUAAGGUCAAUGCCAUUGUCAGAGGAAAAACUUUUGGCCAUCACAGGAUGAGAGAGAAAGUUGAGUUGUAAAGAAUACUCCAAUGCCAUUUAAGGGAACAUGUUCUUCUGCCCCUAUUCUUUGGAACAUUUAGGGCUAAUUUCUUAGUUUUUGACAUCACAAAAAUUUCAAACUAUUUUGUUUCAAGAGCCAUUUCAAACAAUUGACUACAAUUUCAGAGCAAUUACAUGAGAGUAUUACCAAUAGAAUUUUUAAGUUACCCAUAGUCCUGUUAUCUCUAACAAUUAUGUUCAUGCUUGCAUGUUCUCUUUUCAUCUUUACUGUGUGCAUACUUUCUUAGUAAUGACGUGUAGACAUUUUUUAAGCAGGAAUAAUUCUCGAGAUAAUUUUGUAUGUUUUCUUUUUUCUUUUUAAGGUGUGUAUUGGGUGGAGGAGCAUUAUGCAUGAAACUUCUCACAAAACAGGGAUGAAGCAGUGCCUACUCGAUAAUUGGUCAUUGUUCAAAGAAAUGCCUCCUGACUCAAAGGCAAAGCCAGAGUGCAGCUUGGAGCAAAGAAGGGUAGGAGGAAGGGAGUCACCAACAAUACUAAGCAGUCUAGUCUCCUGUGUAUAAAUGAGUAAGUUUGGG